GCGUAAAUACUACUGAAGGAGGCCCAACUAACUUUCUGACGCUUUCUCCAUUGACUGCACUUGAGGCUCCAAGUGAAAUCUCUGGUCUUCAUGAUAGGCAUCAUUUUAUCACUGGUGCUACAAUCAUCUUUGGAGCAACCUUCAGUCUUAUCUUCAUACUGAGGAAGUUGUGGGUGUGGUGGAGCAGCGCUACAUCACCAACUGACAAUCGUUCAACCAGGGUUUGAUUUCCGCUGCUGCGAGUCCAUGCCAUCGAUAAAAGUAUCUGCUAAAUAUCAGUCAGUUAAGUUGCCUACUGCAUCAUGAAGGAUAUAUCU